rnacentral:rRNA from 1 species
CUAAGUUUGAUGGCGACCGGCGCACGGGUGAGUAACACGUAUCCAACCUGCCGAUGACUCGGGGAUAGCCUUUCGAAAGAAAGAUUAAUACCCGAUGGCAUAGUUCUUCCGCAUGGUAGAACUAUUAAAGAAUUUCGGUCAUCGAUGGGGAUGCGUUCCAUUAGGUUGUUGGCGGGGUAACGGCCCACCAAGCCUUCGAUGGACAGGGGUUCUGAGAGGAAGGUCCCCCACAUUGGAACUGAGACACGGUCCAAACUCCUACGGGAGGCAGCAUG